rnacentral:lncRNA from 1 species
AUGGUUGUGAAUCCAAAAUCGGCUCUCUUUUGUAUAAGUAUGGUAGAAAUUAUACACAUCGGUUACUAAAUUGAAAUUCAUCCCAACAUGAGAAUUAACAUUAUCAUUAUUUGCAUGUGGUACACUAGAAAAAUUUGGAUUCUUAUGAUAACCACCAUAUGAAGCCCAUCAAUUGAUCAUUUGCAUGAAUCUAUAUAAAAGAUGUACAGAAAGUUUUUUAAAAUAAAAAAUAUAUAAUUUUAAUAUAAAAUAUCA